ACGAACGCUGGCGGCAUGCCUAACACCUGCAAGUCGAACGCGACCUUCGGGUCUAGUGGCGCACGGGUGCGUAACGCGUGGGAACCUGCCCUUAGGUUCGGAAUAACUCCCCGAAAGGGGUGCUAAUACCGGAUAAUGUCUUCGGACCAAAGAUUUAUCGCCUUUGGAUGGGCCCGCGUUGGAUUAGCUAGUUGGUAGGGUAAAAGCCUACCAAGGCGACGAUCCAUAGCUGGUCUGAGAGGAUGAUCAGCCACACUGGGACUGAGACACGGCCCAGACUCCUACGGGAGGCAGCAGUGGGGAAUAUUGGACAAUGGGCGAAAGCCUGAUCCAGCAAUGCCGCGUGAGUGAUGAAGGCCUUAGGGUUGUAAAGCUCUUUUACCCGGGAUGAUAAUGACAGUACCGGGAGAAUAAGCUCCGGCCAACUCCGUG
rnacentral:rRNA from 1 species